CCGAUCUUUCUCUGUCUCACCAACCUGACAAAAAAGGUGUGCCAAGGGACUUCAUCUUACCUAUCAGUGAUGUCCGGGCCAGCAUAGGUGCUGGGUUCAUUUACCCUUUGGUCGGAACGGGAAGCAGAGAAUCUCCCCUCUGGCUCUAGUUGGAGAAUCCCAACCCAAGCAAGUCCAUCUUUGAACAAUAAACAUCUCCAGUACUGCUGGCUUUGGAAGACCCCAUGGUGCACCACUGACAUCAUGGCUCGGCUGGACUCUGGAAAGCAGGAAAUUGCUGGAGCAUGUUUGGGCAUCAAUGAUGUCACCCGCUACGAAUGCCGGGUGGGGUUACUGGACUGAGGGCCAUGAAAAAAGAAAGCUGCGGCCCUGCCCCGUGGACUCACUGCCAUUCUGUUCUUUCUCACGUUUCAGUUCAGCUCACUUUGUUUUCCGUCCCCCUCCCUCUACUGUAAAAGUAUGUACUCAUUGUUUCAUUUCCUGCUGGAUCUGAUUCAGGUCAGUGAUGAAGUUCUUUGC
rnacentral:lncRNA from 1 species